GGAGUAAAAGUCGUAACAAGGUUUCCGUAGGUGAACCUGCGGAAGGAUCAUUAUUGUAUAACCGAGGUGCGAGGGCUGUCGCUGACCCGAAAGGUCGUGCACGCCCGAGUGCCCUCACACACAUCCAUCUCACCCCUAUGUGCACCACCGCGUGGGUCCCCCUUUGGCUUGUUCGGAGGGGGGCUUACGUUUUCACACAAACUUUGUAUGCAGUAUAGAAUGUAUUUUUUGUUUUUGCGAUCACGCAAUCAAUACAACUUUCAACAACGGAUCUCUUGGCUCUC
rnacentral:misc_RNA from 1 species